ACGGCUGCUAAGGAAUUCAAAAAUGAAAUCGUCCGCGGCGCUGCUUUUGGUCGUGAUUUGCGGAACCUACGCAAGUUCGACCAAUUUAGAGCAGACCUCCGUGAUACGCGAUAAACGUAGCACUGACAAUGACUAUUUAUCGGAUUCUAAAAUUACAAUACGGAAAGAGGGAGUUUUGAAUUUAUUACGAAAAAUAAGAGAGCUCGCAGAAAAAUAUUUAGGCCCUAUAUACCGAAAAAUAUUUUCUACCUUGCCAUAUUGCGUCAUGGUAAGUACCUACUGAUUUACUUACUUUAAAUAACCAACUUCAUGAAAUAUGAGGAGGUAGCAAUAGAGCUCCUUGUG